ensembl:miRNA Gm22875 predicted gene, 22875
GGUUUCUCUGUGUAGCCCUGGCUGUCCUGGCACUCACUCUGUAGACCAGGCUGGCCUCGAACUCAGAAAUUCCCCUGCCUCUGCCUCCCAAGUGCUGGGAUUAAAGGCAUGCGCCACCACUGCCCG